rnacentral:rRNA from 1 species
ACGUAGGUGGCAAGCGUUGUCCGGAUUUAUUGGGCGUAAAGCGAGCGCAGGCGGUUUCUUAAGUCUGAUGUGAAAGCCCCCGGCUCAACCGGGGAGGGUCAUUGGAAACUGGGAAACUUGAGUGCAGAAGAGGAGAGUGGAAUUCCAUGUGUAGCGGUGAAAUGCGUAGAUAUAUGGAGGAACACCAGUGGCGAAGGCGGCUCUCUGGUCUGUAACUGACGCUGAGGCUCGAAAGCGUGGGGAGCAAACAG